GAACGAUUGUUUUCGAAUAUUCGAAGUUUCGAAUGACAAAGUUUGUUUUUUAUAUAAUGCAAACUGAAUCUUUAUUUAGUUAUCUCUAUUCUCCAAUUAAAUUAAAUGUGUUAGAAUAGGUUUAUUAAAAAAUCAAGAAUAUGUUCGAUUUCGGUAAUCCUGUAUUAAUGGAAACAUACGGUGAUGGAAUAAGGAGUGAUUUUUAGCUGUGGAACCAAAUUCACUUCACUUCAAAGCUGCUGUUUUUAUGGAAAAUGCUUGAUGCUGUAUUGAUAAACGAACUUGGUUCACCAGAGGAAGAUACGAUUGCUUUGGAGGCUAGAACAAGAAUGGAAUCAUCAGUUAGAAAACGGAACUGUAAUGAUAUUUAUUCAAUUAUAGUAAGUAAAGUUUAAUGAAGAUAAAUGACAUUUGAAAAGUUUUUAAUUAUGUAUUGAAAAAUAUCAAAUUUCAUAUUCUUCGAGCAUUUCAUUCCAAGUCUACUUUUACCCAACUUUAAAUUCUCUAGAA